rnacentral:lncRNA from 1 species
UGACAUUUUGCUUUGAACUUUAGCAACCAGCUGAUACUGACUUUUCUGAAAACAGUUGUCAACCAACUGUUUGGUAAAGUGACUGUUUUUAUGUUACGGUAUUCUGAAGAACAUGAUUGAAGAGAUUGAAUCCUCUUUGCAAAGACUGCCUAUUCUCAACAAUUUCUCUUUCUGUGAAAGAGCAUCUUGAAGAAUUUGUUUAUGGCUUCAUUAGUAUCUUCGUGUUCUUCUUGCAUUGCUACUCAAUAUAAAUAUGACGUCUUCCUCAGUUUCAGAGGGGAGGAUACUCGUGAUAACUUCACCAGCCAUCUCUAUGCCGCCUUGUGUCGGAAGAAAGUAGAAACUUUCAUAGAUGAAGAAGAACUUGAGAUAGGAGAUGAGAUUUCGCCUGCCUUGUUGUGAUGAAGAAGAACUCGAGAUAGGAGAUGAGAUUUCGCCUGCCUUGUUGAUGGCAAUCAAUGCAUCAAAGAUUGCAGUGAUCAUUUUCUCAAAGCACUAUGCUU